GUGAUACUUGCGACCAGGUUUUAUGUCUUUAUUUCUUUUCCAUCUUCUUUGGUACUUUCUGCUUAACUGCAUGUAAUUAAUGUCUCCUCUCGCACUGAAAACCUCUUCCAAGAAAAGGUGUUCUCUCAAUCCCCGUACUGUGUUAAAAAACAAACAAACAAAAAAGCAAAACAAAACUGUAGCUAAUGUUUAGUGAGGGCUGACUUGCAGCCUACUUCUAAGUGCAGUUUAAUACGGCAUCUUUUGACGUGUGUCUGUUGUACUGUUACACAAAUGAGGAAACGGAGGCACGAAGGAAUUGGGACAGCACAGUGCCCAGCGUGUAUCAGACCACGGGAGCACCUAGGUUUGAUUCUCAGCACCCACAUGGAGGCUCACAACAGUUGGUAACUCCAGAUCCAAGGAAUCCAUUGCUUCUGCUACACCAGCAUAUAUAAGCAGUAAGGACUAUCAAGUGACACUCUAAAAGCAGAGUUGCCUGGAAGAGUCUCACAUCAACUGGAUUGCCUGAAAGAAGCAGGGACUCCAAACUGUUGAGUUUCCUGUGAGUUGUGCAGUGCAGCCCAUGUUUCCAGCUUUCCUGAGCUGACAUCAUGCUGGAGGAGGCUUUUAGCAAUGCAGUUGUCUUUGAGUCAUUUCUGCUCCUGUAAGUAAGCUCAGUAAAACUCAUUGCUUCACCAGGUUGGACUUUGGUUUUCUGAAACGAGUAGAUGUUUGUUCACAGCUCUUCAGGAAUAGUGUCCUACAGCCUGGGCAUAGCCUGUGUGCUUAAGGAGUUGUGGCUUAACCCGGAAAAUGUAGCCUCCUGAUAAGAAAAUGCAAAUGUUUUCUAGUUUGUCUUUUUUUUUUUUUUUUGGUUUUUCGAGACAGGGUUUCUCUGUGGCUUUGGAGGCUGUUCUGGAACUAGUUCUUGUAGACCAGGCUGGUCUCAAACUCACAGAGAUCUACCUGCCUCUGCCUCCCGAGUGCUGGGAUUAAAGGCGUACGCCACCAACACCUGGCCCUCUAGUUUGUCUUUUAAGAUACAAUUGCUGAAGUGAAUAAAUGAAGCUGGGCUGCUACAAAUACCUGCACAGGUAAAUUACCAUCAGAGAUUUACUGAUCUGUUGUGGUGGCUGUGAAGUUCAAGAUGAAGGCUAAAGACCAGAUGUCUUAGGUUUUAUUAUUUUUUCAUUGAUGGUAUCUUCUGUGUGUCCUCAUGUGGCAGAGGAGCAAAGGGGACAAACAAGUAAGGACAUUUUGCUAUUUAAUAGGUAACUGAAGAGCUGGAGAGAUGGCUUCAUGGUUAAGAGCCCUUGUUUCUCUUACAGAAGAAGCUCUACUCUCAUGCCCAGGAUACACACAGCCAAAGCCCCUCCUCGUAAUACUAAUACAUCUUGCUACAUGUGAACUUAGGAGGUGACAUGAUUCAGGUGAUAGCACAGAGACCUGGAGACUCAGCUUCGAUCCCCUUGCUGUAACUGGUGCACUUUGCCCCUCCCUCCAGUCAGUCUUCGAAUACUUCGCCUCUCUUGCACACUCUCUCUCCCCUGUCCCAGAGCUGCGAAUUGAUACCAUCUUAGUAUGUCCAGUUCAUGGCCUUGUCAGUGACCUUUCAAAAAACAAUUUCAUUUUUUUUCCCCCUCAAACAACGGUUCUAGGACAAGUUGCUCUAGGCUUGCUAUGCAGCCCAAGAUGACUGAACUUUUUCACCUCUUCCUGAUAGUGCUGGGAUUACAGAUGUGGACCACCAUGCCUGGCUUAUGUGGUGCUGGAAGUGUAACCCAGGGAAUGGUUCAUGCUUGGGUUUUGUUGUUGUUUACAGGACUAAUAAAAAGUAGAAACAAGCCAGCGUCUAACAUCUGGUACAUGGAUAAACAAUGGGGUCCAUCCAUAUGUUAGUGUUUUCUCUAAAGAAGUGGAGCAUUCCCUCCUGGAGAGAAAAGAGAAGCAUACGAGGCUGCGAUGCUAGGGAAGCUCAUCAGACUCGAGAGAAAGUUUUCAAGACAUCCCCCAAGCUUCCAUAAGCAAUAAACAGUCGCCAGGGAGAAGACUCCCCUCAGUGGGCUGCCUGUAGGUUGAACAGGGAGCUCCAAAGAAGAUGCAGCUUUUGUGAGUUGUUGAUUUUUGGUGUUUUAGCUGCUCUUGAGUCACCCCACGCUCCUGAGUAACCCCAGUAAGCUUACUGGUUCACCAAGCUAGACCUGGGUGGAAUAGUUUCUUUGGACUGUUGUUAGUGCCCCUGUGGGGUGAGUAAGUGUUUGUUAUAGGAAGUCACACAACACCAUGCAGGGAGCACUUGGCCAUUAGGCAAAUGAAGCACUGGUACAUACUAUAACAUAGAACCUAAAACAAGGCAAAAAAUAUGCUUAGCGAAUCCACACACAAAAGGCCACAUUAGACGAGUAGUCAUCUGAACUAUACAGAAUAGGCUCUAGCACUGUCUGAACUGUACCACCACCCUUAAAAGAGCAAAAGUUUUAAAUUUCGAUUAAGUACACUUAACUAAUCUUUCAAAACACAAUGCUGUGUGUUAUACUUAGGAAAUCAUUGCCAAAUCAAAGGCUUCCUUAUUUUUAAUGAUUUUAGUGAACAAAACCCUAGCACCAUCCUUUAGAGUUCCCUGGAAGCACAUUUUCUUAGUCUCCAUACACUGUAACAAGGUAUUGCUCAUGAUUCUGAAGUUCAAGGUCCUGGGCCGAAGCCAGUGUUGAUCUUGUCCUGAGGUGGUGUAAGGUAUCCCAUGGCAAGUGACACAACUCUUACAAAGCCACCAGAAGUUCAAUUACAAAUGUAAUACCCUGAUGCACAGUAUAGUCCUAUCACUUUUCAGAAGCCCCACUUCUACAUGGUAUUCUAAGACAUUUCCACUCUUUUAAAUGGAGAUUAAAUUUGAACACACAAACUUCUGGGUGACACUCUCGCAACCAUAGCCUAUGUUUGAAAAAUAUGAGGGGAAAGCAUGGUAGUUAUGACUUAAUAGUACUGGAAUCCAAACAGAAAAUUAAAUGCUAACAAUAAAUGGGAUACCUAUAUGUUUUUGUUUUUUGAGACAGGGUUUCUCUGUGGCUUUUGGAGGCUGCCCUGGAACUAGCUCUGUAGACCAGGCUGGUCUCGAACUCAUAGAGAUAUACCUGCCUCUGCCUCCCGAGUGCUGGGAUUAAGGCGUGUGUCACUGCCGCCCGGCGGGAUACCUAUGUAUACAUCAACAUGCUCAAUUGUAGUUUUCAAUUUUUUGAGAGAUGGUCUUGAUACACAUACACACACACACAUACACACACACACACACACACACACACACACACACACACACAUCCAUCCUUGGCUCACCUAGAACCUAGUAUGUUAAUUAGGCUGACAUUGCAUUUGCAGCAAUCUUUCUGCUUAUGCCUCCUAAAUGCUAAGAUUAUAGGUUUAUACAACCACACCUAGCCUCACUAGUUAAAUUAAGUCGACUGUGCCUGAUACUUGAAAGUUACCUCCAUAAAAUUAAAAAGAUAUAGUUGAUUACCUCAAUAAAAAGUAUAAAAAGAAUCACACUUUAAAUUCUUCCAAUUAAAUAAUAAAUGUUUUUAUUUCUCUGACAACUUUUAAAAUGUGAACAUUCUGUGAUUUAGCCACAGAAUUUAUUUACUUCCAAGUAACUUCUUCAUUGGGCCUCAGUUCCCUGUGUGAAAAGAAAUAAGGAAAGGAAAAACAGUAAAUCAACUUAAAAAACACUCAACUUUUACUUUAUGUGUGGGUGUGGGUGUGCGCCUUACAGUAUAUACAUUCACCAUGUGUAUGCAGGUGUCCUAGCAUACCAGGAGAGGGCAGUGGAUCCCCUGGACCUGGAGUUGGGCAGUUGUGAGCCACCAAUCAUGUGGAUGCCAGGAACUAAAUUGGGUCCUCUUUAAAAGUAGCAAAUGCUUUUAACCACUGAGCCAUCUCUCCAGCCCCCAUAUAAAAACAUUUUUUUGUAUAAGAGGGCCAGAAGUUUAUAUUUGUUUAAUUCUAUCAAACUGACAUAUUUAGGUUUUACAUUAGACUCAUAGACAUUCAUUCAGUUCUCCCAUCAACUUUUACUCUUUCCCAGCUUAAAGAACAGUAAUUUCUUGAUUUAUGACACUUUGUUCUUCUGAGAGUACUUGUUUCUGAAUACUUUGCAGCUCAUUUCAUCUUUCUUGAAAUACCAGACUUGUAAACCAAACCUGCAUAGUGACGCUGGAUGCUACUCAUAGUCUAUUUGAGCUUCCAAAAUCCAGAUAGCUAUAUCCACUGGCAGGUAGCUACACUAUCUGGUCUUGUUAGGCAUGCCGUGGAUCCAGGCAGCUCUGGGCGUUACCACUCAGUCACCGUGUGUAAAGCUCUCAUGCAGUGAUGCUAAGAACAAAGCAUUACCGUUUCCUUCAGCUAUUUUAUGGCUUAAGACAUGUGUUCUACAGCAACAUAUGUGAAAGCAUAAAUGGUAAGUCUUGGGCAGCUGACUUAAGUUUUGUUUUUACACUAAAAUACACUCUUAAUAGAAGUGGGAACUACGAGGGGAGGCCUCAAGGGAAAGGGCAACAAUAAAGGGUAAUGGAAAUUAGAAAAGACAAAAUAUUGCAUGUUUCCUGUCAUGCAAAGUCUAGAUUUAAAAUACAUGUGACGUGAAAAACAGAAGGUAGCCCAUUUGGGAGAGGAAGGGAACCAGUGAGGGGACAAGAAGAACAAAUGCAUGCAUAAUGGGGGUGCUGGAAAAUGGCUCACUGGUUAUGAAUACUUGUUGCUCUCACAGGAUAUCCACACUGGGAGGCUCACAAGUACCUGUAACUUCAGCUCCAGGGAACCCGAUGCCUUCUUCUGGCCUCUAACAACACCCACACAAUAUGUGACAAACACAUAAAUACAAACCAUUUUUUAAAAAGUCACUAUGAAAAAGAGUAAUAAAAAACAGGAAACUUUCGAAGAUCUGAGAUGGCUAGAUAAUAAACUACAGAUUAUUUAUAUUCCAGAGGUAAUCAUACAAUUUCAUCUAAAGAGUAAAUAACAAGCAUGAAGUGUCCAUCACUUGAUUAUAAAUCAUCACAGUAGAAAAAUACACCUCUUUGUUCAUUGAUUGAAAAAAGAGCCCAAACUCCCUAAAGGCUUGUGAACUAACCUUCGAAAUAGCAUACUCUUAUUCCGGAAGGUAGUCAGCUUUUCGUCAGCCCUCUUGUCUAGAUAGUAUCCAAAGGCAAAUCCCAUAGGGACAAGUAUAUGAACCCAGUGGUCACGUACAAGCUGAAGCAAGGUCAUAAUGGCUGCUAAAAUGGGGAGAAAAUGAAAUAUGAAAUACAAUGCCUUUGAGGUACUGAAAUAAAAGGUGGCUGGGGAUUCCUAGGGACUAGGAGCACUAUACCUUAGCAAGGGGAUGAGGGUGGAAGGAGGAUAUAAUCGAUACACGCUAUAUGAAUAGGGAUUCCAUUAGUAUGUACAAUUGGUGUUAAUAAAUCAUUACGCUUUGG